rnacentral:rRNA from 1 species
AGAGUUUGAUCCUGGCUCAGGAUGAACGCUGGCGGCGUGCCUAAUACAUGCAAGUCGAACGAGGUCUUCGGACCUAGUGGCGAACGGGUGAGUAACACGUUGGUACCUGCCCCGAAGUGGGGAAUAACUGGCCGAAAGGUCGGCUAAUACCGCAUAAUACCGCAAGGUUAAAGCAGCAAUGCGCUUCGGGAGGGGCCUGCGUCCCAUUAGCUUGUUGGUGGUGUAAUGGACCACCAAGGCGACGAUGGGUAGCUGGAUCGAGAGGUUGACCAGCCACACUGGGACUGAGAUACGGCCCAGACUCCUACGGGAGGCAGCAGUAAGGAAUCUUCCACAAUGGACGAAAGUCUGAUGGAGCAACGCCGCGUGCAGGAUGACGGUCUUCGGAUUGUAAACUGCUUUUAUAUGGGAAGAUUAUGACGGUACCAUAUGAAUAAGCACCGGCUAACUACGUGCCAGCAGCCGCGGUAAUACGUAGGGUGCAAGCGUUAUCCGGAAUCACUGGGCGUAAAGCGUGCGUAGGCGGCGAGUUAAGUGAGGUGUUAAAUCGUGUGGCUCAACCAUACAGAUGCAUCUCAUACUGGCUCGCUAGAGGACGGCAGAGGCAAGUGGAAUUGGUAGUGUAGCAGUGAAAUGCGUAGAUAUUACCAGGAACACCAAUGGCGAAGGCGCUUGCUGGGCCGCCCCUGACGCUGAGGUACGAAAGCGUGGGGAGCGAACAGGAUUAGAUACCCCAGUAGUCC